GAUGAAGAACGUAGCGAAAUGCGAUAAGUCGUGUGAAUUGCAGAAUUCAGUGAAUCAUCGAAUCUUUGAACGCACAUUGCGCCCUUUGGUAUUCCUUAGGGCAUGCCUGUUCGAGCGUCAUUUAAACCUUCAAGCUAAGCUUGGUGUUGGGUGACUGUCCGCUUCACUGCGGACUCGCCUCAAAAUUAUUGGCGGCCGGUACAUUGGCUUCGAGCGCAGCAGAAACGCGAACUCGGGCCCGUCGUAUUGGCUCCCAGAAGCUAUCUUCACAAUUUUGACCUCGGAUCAGGUAGGGAUACCCGCUGAACUUAAGCAUAUCAAUAAGCGGAGGA
rnacentral:misc_RNA from 1 species